CCUACGGGUGGCAGCAGUGGGGAAUAUUGGUCAAUGGACGCAAGUCUGAACCAGCCAUGCCGCGUGCAGGAAGACGGCCCUCUGAGCUGUAAACUGCUUUUGUACGAGGGUAAACGCCGAUACGCGUAUCUGUCUGAAAGUCUCGUACGAAUAAGGAUCGGCUAACUCCGUGCCAGCAGCCGCGGUAAUCCGGAGGAUUCAAGCGUUAUCCGGAUUGAUUGGGGUUAAAGGGUGCGUAGGGGGAUCGUUAAGACGGUGGUCAAUCUGGGGGGCUCAACCCCUGCCCGCCAUUGAAACUGGGUCGCUUGAGUGGAAGAGAAGUAGGCGGAAUGCGUGGUGUAGCGGUGAAAUGCAUAGAUAUCACGCAGAACCCCGAUUGCGAAGGCAGCAUGCCGGCUUCCGACUGACGCUGAAGCACGAAAGCGUGGGGAGCGAACAGGAUUAGAUACCCCAGUAGUC
rnacentral:rRNA from 1 species